CCUGCGGGAGGCUGCAGUGGGGAAUAUUGGACAAUGGGCGAAAGCCUGAUCCAGCCAUGCCGCGUGUGUGAAGAAGGCCUUCGGGUUGUAAAGCACUUUCAGUGGGGAAGAAAGCCUUGGGGCUAAUACCCUCGAGGAAGGACAUCACCCACAGAAGAAGCACCGGCUAACUCCGUGCCAGCAGCCGCGGUAAUACGGAGGGUGCGAGCGUUAAUCGGAAUUACUGGGCGUAAAGCGCGCGUAGGCGGUCUGAUAAGCCGGUUGUGAAAGCCCCGGGCUCAACCUGGGAACGGCAUCCGGAACUGUCAGGCUAGAGUGCAGGAGAGGAAGGUAGAAUUCCCGGUGUAGCGGUGAAAUGCGUAGAGAUCGGGAGGAAUACCAGUGGCGAAGGCGGCCUUCUGGACUGACACUGACGCUGAGGUGCGAAAGCGUGGGUAGCAAACAGGAUUAGAUACCCCGGUAGUC
rnacentral:rRNA from 1 species